GAGCCCCCCGGGGAGCCACUCCCGGAACAGAUCCCAGACGCAUCACCUGUCAAGAUCAGGGCCAAGCCAGAACUGGUGGCAGCAUCUUAAUUUCACUCCUGGGGAUAACCCCGAAUAACUUCCAUCAUGGACAGUGUGGAAUCCCAGCAUGCCCUGGGAACAGGGAACGCCCCGGUAGCAUCCCAGCUGCGCUGGGCGAGUGUGCUGGGUCAGGUUCCCUAGGCAGGGGAUCUCCGCAGAUUAUCGCUCUUGUAUCAAGAUUAUUUUCUAGCGCUUUCUUUUUGUAAUUUAAAUUCUCAACGCACUCGGCUGCGCGGUCUCUGGAUUAAACAGCGACUGCAAAACUU